rnacentral:tRNA from 1 species
GCGAAGGUGGCGGAAUUGGUAGACGCGCUAGACUAAGGAUCUAGUGUCUCACGACGUGGGGGUUCAAGUCCCCCCCUUCGCAC